rnacentral:rRNA from 2 species
CUUGACGACCAUAGAGCGUUGGAACCACCUGAUCCCAUCCCGAACUCAGUAGUGAAACGACGCAUCGCCGAUGGUAGUGUGGAGUUUCUCCAUGUGAGAGUA